rnacentral:rRNA from 1 species
UCCAGACUCCUACGGGAGGCAGCAGUGGGGGAUAUUGCACAAUGGGGGAAACCCUGAUGCAGCAACGCCGCGUGAGUGAAGAAGUAUUUCGGUAUGUAAAGCUCUCUCAGCAGGGAAGAGAAUGACGGUACCUGACUAAGAAGCCCCGGCUAACUACGUGCCAGCAGCCGCGGUAAUACGUAGGGGGCGAGCGUUAUCCGGAUUUACUGGGUGUAAAGGGAGCGUAGACGGCUGGUCAAGUCUGAAGUGAAAGCCCGGGGCUUAACCCCGGAACGGCUUUGGAAACUGAGCAGCUAGAGUGCUGGAGAGGUAAGCGGAAUUCCUAGUGUAGCGGUGAAAUGCGUAGAUAUUAGGAGGAACACCAGUGGCGAAGGCGGCUUACUGGACAGUAACUGACGUUGAGGCUCGAAAGCGUGGGGAGCAAACAGGAUUAGAUACCCGUGUAU